UUGUUUAGAGUCAGUGAUAAUGUAAGACUGGAGGAAGACCCAGAGAAAUUAAAUGACUUACCCAGGGUCAGAAGAGCAAGUAAAAAGGAAGCCUGGACUUGGCCCCAAGUCUUCAAAAUAGAGUAUGCUCGCUAUUAUAUCACACUGGCCCUCAGGCUCCUGGAGCAGUAAGGCUACCACAACCUCUGCUUAACUCGACCAGAAUCUGCAUCUGAUUUUCGUUACCAAAACCCUUUCACUAGGAGUCCUUUGCACCAGAACCCACCACCACUGCAGCCUGCCACCACAGUAUGUACUUAGCUGAUUCCAGAGGAAGGAAAAGACAUACUUGACAAGAACCUAGAAUGUGCAGUUAUUUCAUUUAAUCUUCACAAAACAUUGCAAAGUAGGUGCAAGAUGCCCUCGUUCCUUUUUCCUCUUCCCUGGCCACAAAGGAAGACUGUUCCCCAGCCUCCCUUGAAGUUAGGCUGGAGCCCAGUGAUUAGUCUGUCCAGCAGAAUGUGGGCAAGAGUAAUGUGUGUCAUGCCCAGGCUUGAUCCCUAAAGUUUCCCAUGAGAUAAUCAGCUCCUCUGUCUACAGGCUUAGAAGCAAAGGAUGUGCAGAUAUUGGAUCACAUGCUAGAAGGAGUCCAGAUUCUUUAGUUGCUGCUUGGAGAAGUGCUAUCUGACUUAAACAGUGAACAGAGCAAAACAUAUAAAGUUAUGUUAAGUUGCUGAGUUUAAUAACAAGUCUGCAUUUAGAACAUAAAGAAUGUUAGUAUUCUAAUCUAGUGAGGUUAAGUGAUAUAAGUAAGCUUUUGUGACCUGACGAGAAAAUGCAACCCCCUUUUGUUAUAUUUUUAUAGAAAUAUGAGUUCUGAGUUCCAAUUCAAGCUAUGAAAUGACAUUUAGGGAAAAGAAAGCAACAAUCCUAGGUACUGACUCUUCUGUGAAAGAAUCACAUGGUAUAACAUCAGCACCCUCCAGAUAUUUGUUGAAGGCUUCCUUGUCAACCAAUAGGCUUCCACUUCGAGGAUGAGAAGAUAUCCUUCGGUUCUCCAGCCUGUCGUUGCAGGAUUGACAUUUCUUUCAAUAACCAAACAAAAUGUUAUGACCUACCAUCUUAUAUGUUAUGAAAAGUUCAGAGCCAGUUCUCUCCA